UACGUAGGGUGCGAGCGUUGUCCGGAAUUAUUGGGCGUAAAGAGCGUGUAGGCGGUCCGGUAAGUCGGCUGUGAAAGUCCAAGGCUCAACCUUGGGAUGCGGGUGGAUACUGCCGGGCUCGAGUCCGGAAGAGGCGAGUGGAAUUCCUGGUGUAGCGGUGAAAUGCGCAGAUAUCAGGAGGAACACCGAUGGCGAAGGCAGGUCUCUGGGCAUUAACUGACGCUGAGGAGCGAAAGCAUGGGGAGCGAACAGG
rnacentral:rRNA from 1 species